GGCCCCUUGGUCUAAUGGUCAGGACGGCAGCCUCUCAAGCUGCAGAUGUCGGGUUCAAGUCCCGCAGGGGUCA
rnacentral:tRNA from 2 species